AGCGAACGCUGGCGGCAGGCUUAACACAUGCAAGUCGAGCGGGCACUUCGGUGUCAGCGGCAGACGGGUGAGUAACACGUGGGAACGUACCCUUCGGUUCGGAAUAACGCUGGGAAACUAGCGCUAAUACCGGAUAUGCUCUUUUGGGGAAAGGUUUAGUGCCGAAGGAUCGGCCCGCGUCUGAUUAGCUAGUUGGUGGGGUAAUGGCCUACCAAGGCGACGAUCAGUAGCUGGUCUGAGAGGAUGAUCAGCCACACUGGGACUGAGACACGGCCCAGACUCCUACGGGAGGCAGCAGUGGGGAAUAUUGGACAAUGGGCGCAAGCCUGAUCCAGCCAUGCCGCGUGAGUGAUGAAGGCCUUAGGGUUGUAAAGCUCUUUUGUCCGGGACGAUAAUGACGGUACCGGAAGAAUAAGCCCCGGCUAACUUCGUG
rnacentral:rRNA from 1 species